UACGGGGGGGGCAAGCGUUGUUCGGAAUUACUGGGCGUAAAGGGCGCGUAGGCGGUCAGACCAAGUCGAGUGUGAAAUUCCAGGGCUUAACUCUGGCACGCUCGCUCGAUACUGGUCGGCUAGAGUGUGGAAGAGGAGAACGGAAUUCCCAGUGUAGCGGUGAAAUGCGCAGAUAUCAGGAGGAACACCGGUGGCGAAGGCGGUUCUCUGGGCAUUACCUGACGCUGAGGAGCGAAAGUGUGGGGAGCGAACAGG
rnacentral:rRNA from 1 species